rnacentral:rRNA from 1 species
UUAACACAUGCAAGUCGAGGGGCAGCAUGAACUUAGCUUGCUAAGUUUGAUGGCGACCGGCGCACGGGUGAGUAACACGUAUCCAACCUUCCGUUUACUCAGGGAUAGCCUUUCGAAAGAAAGAUUAAUAUCCGAUGGUAUAUUAAAACCGCAUGGUUUUACUAUUAAAGAAUUUCGGUUAUCGAUGGGGAUGCGUUCCAUUAGGCAGUUGGCGGGGUAACGGCCCACCAAACCAACGAUGGAUAGGGGUUCUGAGAGGAAGGUCCCCACAUUGGAACUGAGACACGGUCCAAACUCC